AAAAUGCCGCUAUAGUUUUCGCUCCAAAAACCGGCGCUACAUGGUGCAACCUUCGUGGAUUUUCAUAUCUGUUGUUCUUGUGAUACAAAACGAGAUUGAUUCUUCUUCUUGGCGUAACAUCCCUACUGGGAAAAAUCCUGCUUCUGUUUUAUUUGAGCCAAAGAGAUCCAAAAUCGGACAAGCCACUGAUUUUUGCGAGCUGUUCAAUGUUUGGGGUCAAAAAUGACCUCAGGGUCUUAUUUGUAACUUUUUUUUAGGGACAAAGGAAGGUUAACAGAAGCAGUUGGGGGCAUUAGUAUUAUGGCGCGAGAGGUGAAAUUCGUAGACCGUCGUAAGACUAACUAAAGCGAAAGCAUUUGCCAUGGAUGCUUUCAUUAAUCAAGAGCGAAAGUUAGAGGAUCGAAAGCGAUUAGAUACCGCCCUAGUUCUAACCGUAAACUAUGCCAAUUAGCAAUUGGGAGACGCUACAUUAUGGUGCUCUCAGCAGCUUCCGGGAAACCAAAAUUAGGUU
rnacentral:rRNA from 1 species